rnacentral:tRNA from 1 species
GGGUUCGAGAGCCCAGCUCACACGCUGGCCGUCGCGCAGACUGUAAAUCUGCCGGCUCAGCCUUCCCAGGUUCGAAUCCUGGCGCCGCCA